rnacentral:tRNA from 3 species
GGCUAAUUAGCUCAGUCGGUAGAGCAAAUGACUGAAAAUCAUUGUGUCCUUGGUUCGAUUCCGAGAUUAGCCACCA